rnacentral:lncRNA from 1 species
CAACUUGCAGGAAAUUUGAACUUACGACUUACUAGCAGUAUAAUAAAGUUUACAAACUAUCAGCUAGAUAAAUAAAAGAAACAUUUUAGGUUGGUUCAUUCUUCCUUCCGGACUUUCUCGAGCGCCUAGACUGUUUGGCGAGAUGCUGGGACUGGCUCUCGAACCCCUUCUAGAAGUUCACCAAGCGCCUGUAUACAUCGUAGGUGGCAUACAUGUCCAUGGAACCAUAAUAAAUGUUCUUCAAGGGCAAGGGCACUUCUGCCCAUAUAUGGUGGUCAUCUUCUAUGAUCGCAUCCUUCAUCUUGUGGUAACUGUGGUGGAUGAUGGAACCAGCGUAGUCAGCCAAGCCAUACUUUUCCUUAAUCUUCACUGGAUCAGGCACUCUCCACAUAUUGUUGAUAUCCACAAAGUUUUGUACCACCAGACCAACACGCUUGAGUUUUUUUGUCAUUGUUGAUGUCCAACCCAACAAAGGUGUACUCCUCGUCGAGCAGGAAGGCGGCCAGCGGGACGGAGUGCUCAUCAUCAAUGCUUAUGUGGUACACGAGGACGUAGAUGCCAACGCAUAACUGGACCACGGCAACCAUCUGUGUGGGACCAUGAGGCCAGGUGUACUCCACAUCCAGUCCAACUAUCUUCUAGUCGUCGUUCUGCAGCCAGUAUUUGAAUCUGCUAAUGCAGUACCCAAACAACUAGACUUGUUCUUGUACUUCGCAAAAAUUUGAGUAUUUCCAUCUUCCCUGGCAGCAUAAUCUUUCACGAACGCCAUGCCGAAGG